rnacentral:lncRNA from 1 species
CCCUGAUAAUCUGUCAGUAUCUUUCAUCACCCCCAGAUGGGACCAUCUAGUUUCAGGAAAACAAACAAGCUCAGGACUCCCACUGAUUGUACAUUAUGCUUCCCUGAUCUGCUGAGACCUGUGUUUGCUCUCCCUGCAGAUGGGUGGAAGCACCUAAGCUGAAGAGUCCCUUGAGAACAAGUACUAUCCUGUGGUUUCAUAAACUUUCUUCCAUUUAUGGUUCUUGCCAAGUUAAAUUUAAAUUACAUCUUAUGAAGAUGGAUAAACCCAAGUUUUCCAGAGCUGGAAUAUAGAAAAUGGAUGUACCUAUAAGUCCUACUCACCCAUAGCCAAGGCAUGGAGACCUCAACACACCUGGGCCCUAGACAUCACCUUUUAUUGUGAGUAGCUCUGAGAUAACACUUCUGGUUGGUAAGUGCCCACUGGCCAUAGUUUAUGUAACAGCAAGUGAAGGAAUGAAGAGUCAACAAAAUAUUUUCUGUUCCCAAUUCUAGCAUGAAUUUGAUUAGAUAACUAUUCUAUGAAGAAUUUUCAUAUGCCACAGUUCUGACCAAAUUCUCAAGUGAACUGAAAAAUUAUAUUUAAAAGUCAACCUUCUUUCUCACUCUGUUGCCCAGACUGGAGUGCAGUGGUGCAAUUAUGGCUCAGUGCAGCCUCAACCUCCUGGGCUAAAGCAGUCCUUCCU